rnacentral:lncRNA from 1 species
AACAAGCUCACUCGUUCUCAAACGCUUAACAAGAUCCUCACAUUUGUAAUCCCAACCAGAUUCGGUCAAAACCCAAAAAUCUUCUUCUUCGUAAACCACUUAAGGGAAGGCAGGCAUAUUUGCAGCCCUCAUGUAAGGGCACCAAAUAAAAUCUUCUUUUGCACCAUUGGCAAAUGUUGGCUUUCCAAACAUGGUCAAUGGCUUCAGAUGCAAUAUUAGGAGUCUCUCUAGAAGCCAUAACCAAUUGACUGGGCUACAACCUAGCUUCUAGAACUUCUUUUUGUGUUUCUCUAAUUCCUAAUAUUUUUAGAGCAACAUACCCCUUUUCAGUGAACUCAAAUUUUGUAAGUCAGCAAGAACUAUUGGUGCAGGUGUGAUUUUCAUGCCUCUACUUUAAUGAACUGCAAUGAGGAGAACUGAUUUUCUUAUAGUGUUUCCGUCAUGGGGAAAAACAAACCGUGACAGACAAUAAGGAAAAAAUGCUUCAUGCUUAAUUUCACUUUCACAUACCAGGAAUUUUACCAUUGAGAAGACAAGCUUGCUUUCUUUUAUAUAUUUUAAUAUACUUCUAUAAAUUAAACAUGUAUGGAAGACAACAAUCAAUUUUCCUGUACAUGAUAGCUUAUGAAUCAAAAAAAUCCACCACACACACACAUGAUAUCGCUCUUCUUUCACGUGUGCAGACGCACAACCGUUGCACUUCCCUUGCACAUCUUUUACAACAUUUUUUAUAUCAUAAUAUGUUAGAAUUAGGAUGUGACCCGAAUUCCAUUGGGAAGACUAUUUGGGAAUUUUACUUGAAGUCUAUUUGGGAAUUCAAUUCAGGAGUUCAAUUGAGAGUUUGAAAUUUGUUUUGGACUUGAAGAAGAAUUGAAGCAGUCCAAGUUGUAAUAGAAGAGGAAGAAAUCGUGCAAGGAGAAGGAAACGCCAAACUGGUGCUCGCUAUGCACCUUGGUCUCACUAGAAAGCUCAAAAUAGGAGCUCCAGUGCUCAAUGUCCGUGAGGCAGCACUCAAGCGAUUGGCCACCGCCCGAUAGUAGUGAGACCACUCCUCGAGCCUCGGUCUUAUCCGGAUUUGGAACAGUUCUCAAAGUUGGCAAUUUUUUAAAUCCUAUUUUAUUCCAAAUAUUUCACUAUUGUAUACUUAUUAUCCACCACAUUUUAAUCUCUUCUUUGCAUUAUACAUAUGAGGAGUAAACCUCCAGAAAAAUCAAUCCUUAUAUUCUACAGUAUAAUUUAUAUUCCUCCAUUAUUAAUAUUAAUAAAUUCUUCUCUUCU